rnacentral:rRNA from 1 species
AUCUACGGCCAUGCUACCCUGAAGGAGCCCGAUCCUGUCUGAUCUCAGAAGCUAAGCAGGGUCGGGCCUGGUUAGUACUUGCAUGGGAGACCACCUAGGAAGACCAGGUGCUGUAGGCA